UUUUUUUAAAUAUGAACUCUGUUCCUAUUUGAGCUAACAACAAGCAAGGCAAUGGUACAGCAAACUCAUGAUCUUUUCCUUUUUUUCCUUUUCUUUGCAGGUAUAUCACUGACUUAGAUGUGGAGGGAUGUCCAGAUAUAAAUCGAAGUCAGUUGUUUCAAAGUCUAACAUACUUUAUUAUAGACAACAAUCUAAUACAUUAUUCAGAAAAGACUUCCUGUUUGAGUGAAGAAGAUAACAAUUUUUUUCUUUAUUCAAUUAAAAAAUAUAACAUAGAUUUGACUAAAAAGCUUGCUUUUGCUUUUAUAUAUUAUGAUAAUUCUAACGAACCUGUUUUGAUCGGACCUGUAGGUCUUGAGAAAAAUAAAAAACAUCAAUCUGAUCACAAAAAAAAUGAGAAAAAUAUUCACAGAGAAACCAUUUUACUUUCUUUGAUUGAGGAGGAAAUUGGGUGUAAAAAUAAUGUAGGCAAAGUUUAUGUCUUCCUCCCUUACAGUCCUUGUCCUCAUAGAAAAGAUGGAGGAUCAUGUAUGAGAGAUAUAUUUAAUAAAGCAAAAGAAUGGGACACUCGAUAUGGGAUUAUAACAAAAUGUGUAUUUCAUAAUUACUAUGGGAUCAAUGGAACGACAGGAAAGUUUUGCAAUAAAUUUCUGGAAAAGCCUUUGGAUGAAAUUUUAGAAGACAAACCGAUAACUGACAAAAGCAACAUCUGGCAUGUCACAUUAAAAGAAUUCCUUGGUGUUAAAAUAAAAGAUAAUCAGUUUAAUUUAAAGUUUUUGGAACAGAUGGAACAAAGCCUAAACCAAGAAAGUCCCGACAAAGAACUUUACAGAGAACAUUGUAAAGAAAUAUUCUCUGAAAAGUUCAAUAAAAUAAUAUUUGAAUACACUUUAGAGCAGAAUGAACGACCAUAUUUGCAGUUUGGUUUUCUGGGAGAUCUAUUAUAAGAAUUUUUAUAUAUAGAACACCCUAAUAUAUUAUACACAAUAGGGGGUACCUCUGGUUCUGUUUCAUGGCAUCCACGGCUCAGAGAGGAAGUCUGGGCGUAAGUGCGGGGGGGAAGCAUAGGCCCUUUCCUGCAUGGACCUCAGCAGAAAAACAGUCUUUGAGCAUUUAGGGUUUGCCAUGAAAUUGAACAGUUUUUUCUAUUGUGGAAAAUUUAAAUAAAAAGAUUUUAAACUUUUAAAUGUGUCAGUCUCUUGUUUUGCCUGGGUUUGCACAGCUGUGUUUCC
rnacentral:lncRNA from 1 species